GAGUAAAGGAGCAUGCGUUGACUUAUCUGUCAAUACUGUGAAGGCCUCUUCCUGUGUGGUACCCAAAACAAAAGGCACAUCUUUCUUUGUAAGCUCGCUGAGAGUUGCAGCAAUGGUGCUGCUCACAAAACGGCUAUAGAAACCAACGAGUCCAAGUGUGGUCUGGUAUCAAAAGCUGAAAAGGUUGGAAUGAAAAGUAGGAUAACUCGACGGAUCACACGGCCUUCGUGCCGGCGACGCAACAUUCAAAUUUCCGCCCUAUCAACUUUCGAUGGUAGGAUAGGGGCCUACCAUGAUGGUGACGGGUGACGGAGAAUUAGGGUUCGAUUCCGGAGAGGGAGCCUGAGAAACGGCUACCACAUCCAAGGAAGGCCGCAGGCGCGCAAAUUACCCAAUCCUGACACGGGGAGGUAG
rnacentral:ncRNA from 2 species